UCCCCAGUGGCUCAGACGGUAAAGCGUCUGCCUGCAAUGCAGGAGACCCAGGUUCAAUCCCUGGGUCAGGAA
rnacentral:tRNA from 1 species